rnacentral:rRNA from 1 species
GACGAACGCUGGCGGCGUGCUUAACACAUGCAAGUCGAACGGAAAGGCCCUGCUUUUGUGGGGUGCUCGAGUGGCGAACGGGUGAGUAACACGUGAGUAACCUGCCCUUGACUUUGGGAUAACUUCAGGAAACUGGGGCUAAUACCGGAUAGGAGCUCCUGCUGCACGGUGUGGGUUGGAAAGUUUCGGCGGUUGGGGAUGGACUCGCGGCUUAUCAGCUUGUUGGUGGGGUAGUGGCUUACCAAGGCUUUGACGGGUAGCCGGCCUGAGAGGGUGACCGGCCACAUUGGGACUGAGAUGCGGCCCAGACUCCUACGGGAGGCAGCAGUGGGGAAUAUUGCACAAUGGGCGGAAGCCUGAUGCAGCAACGCCGCGUGCGGGAUGACGGCCUUCGGGUUGUAAACCGCUUUCGCCUGUGACGAAGCGUGAGUGACGGUAAUGGGUAAAGAAGCACCGGCUAACUACGUG